UUUUUAUGAGCUGUCAGGUUCGGUGUUCGCAUACAGUACUGUACAACACAAAAUCACUGCAAAAUAACUGUUCAUUCGCAGUUUAUCAGUAAUGACCAGUACUAUCAGUUGUUUAAACACAUAUUACUCCUCCCCUUCUUGGCAACGUAUUGCACAUUGGGUAAAAAGUGAAAGCAAAACUUAAAUGGAGCAAUGCAGCACCGUGGCCAUACAUGUACUAACAAAGCUAAAGGUUCUUUGUUUUUAUGAAUUUCAACAAGAUUAUCCAAUGGAUUUUAAAUGAAGAGAUGAUUUAUUCAUGCACUAUAUGAUGUUCCUUUUCUAAGUCUUACUGGGACCAGGGAUCAAGACUCCAAGCCUCACUCUCUGAAGAACAGUAUGUCAAACUUACACAUUACCUUAUAACAGCUCUCUCGUUAUAUGACAUUAUUAUGUAACCUACAAAAUGUCCCUAUAAAAAUAAUUAUGGGAGGUCUGAUCGAGAAUUCUUUGUGAAAGAGAUUUCAUUAUUAAAGGGGAAUUGCACUUUAUAACACUUCUGCUUCUCAUGACUGAUAUUGUCCUUCUAAUGAAUGUGUCACCCUUCAUUUUUCGAUUAGUUAUUUCAUUUUAAAUGCCUAACGUUAGAAACAAAGACCUUUUUCUUUUUAGCGCAAGUCCACAUAGUAGUAUGGUUUCCGGUUUUUUCUUCUUCUUUGAUUUCGUUUAGUGGAAACUCGAGAAGAAGCAAAGCAAAACAUUCUGUUAACGUAGCGUUGAAAUCAAACAAACUAACGUCUGCUAGCUUUUGUUUGAUGCAAUAUCGGUGUAAUAAUGAGGUGCAUUGUGCCUGGUUGUUAUAAUGCCCCCAUUCAACUUGACCUGAAAGCACAUUUUCAUAGUUUUCCACCCGAUGCAACUUUGUAUAACAAUUCCAUGAUCAAAAACAAAAUCUCCUUUGUCCUCAGACAUUUUCGGUUUCGCUAGCUAGUAGAAAUGCAACACUAGGUCUACGACCAACCUAAUGUUAUUGUCUGCAGGUAUGCCCACAUCAGAAGUCGUGCAAUGAUAUUCAUCCUAACAUAACAUAAUGAAAUAACUAGUCGAAAAAUGGAAGGGCGACACAUUCAUUAGAAGGACAUUAUCAGUCAUGAGCAGAAGUGUUAUAAAGUGCAAUUCCCCUUUAAAAAAUCUAAUUAAAUACGCUUUGCCAGCAUACUCAUAUUUUUCAUGUGAUUUCAGUGACGCAUGGUUUCAAUCACAUGCCGAAUGCAUGCACCAACUUGAAUAUCUGAGCUUAUGAAUGUUCAUUAUUUGUCCAAAAGAACAUACUGUAUGCUGAAUAAUUUAUGAGCCAAAUACUGUAUUUGUACUUGUUUUCCUUUUUUUUUUGUUAUGUAUACGAGAUGAAUUUUCAUUGGCUAUAUAUGUUUUCAUGCUUACAAAAAAUUUAUAAAUUACAUAUUCAUAUUUGGAUGAAAUAAAUUUCAGCAACAAGGUCAGGUCCAUUUUUUAAUGCAUGUAAUAUAUGCACUGUAACAUGAUUUCAGUAAAACUUUCAUUUUAAUUCAUAGUAUCUUUCAAACCAAAUUCUCUCUGAAGAUUUCGUUUAGGAUGGUGUAAGAAUAAUUGUUUAGUGUUGGGUACACUUACACUGAUCAACAUGCAUUUGUCUCAUUUAACAUAUUAAAUAAAUUGCAUUUAUGUUAAAAAGCUUGCAUUGUACUUUUGUGUGUUUCAAUUUGCAAUGGCAUUCUGGAUUGCUGUACAAUUUUAGAAUUCUGGAAAAAAAAAGCAUUCCCAGAAAAACCUGCUCUUCAAAGGGUCGAUGACUACAGUGAGCUCCAAGCGGCAUAUUUAACACACUGACCAGUGGGUCAUUAAGAAAAAUAACAAUAUAGAUUUUCUUUUUUAGUGACAACCUGUAAAAAAAAAAAAAAAAAAAAGACUCUAAUACUCCAAAAUAAUACACUAUUAGACAUUUAUCUGACUAGCUGCCUGCUUUGACGGAUCAAUUUAGUAAUAUCUUCCUCUAGGAAGACACCUGGAUGAAUUAUUAAAGAUGUUCUCCAAUAAAAUCUCAAUAAGUAACAGGUUCAAACAUUUUCAGCGCCACCUGUUUCUUACUCACUUCUCACGUGCGUAUUGUACCGGUCCUUCCUUCCCACACACCUGUGUCUGCUGUCUUCACACACACACACACACACACACACACACACA